GACAGCGAUCGGCAACAUUGGGGCAUUCCAUUCUUGAGCGUGAACUGAGAACGCAAUUGUCAAUCGUCAAAUGAAAAAGCUAAAUUUUUUGAAAAUCGGACAGUGGGGAGAUCGAGGAGUCGACGAGCGUUGAAAUCGAUUGAAGGAUUUGUUCAAUCGAUCUUCAUCUCAAAUCGACUGAAGUAUUCUGUGGUAUGAUUUGCCGAUUCCAUUCCUUCCUCUCUGAUUCUUGUCUUCUUGAUUUCUAAUCGAUCUUCAAACACAACCCGGAGACUCGAUUCUUGUCUUCAUCUCUGAUUAUUGUCUUCUUGAUUUCUACUUACUGAGACCUGAGUUCGAAGACAUCAAACACAACCCACAGCUUGGAGAAAUCAAACACAACCGACAAGUCGACAACCUAGAGACUCGAGACCUGAGUGCCGAUUUGAUUUCUAUUCUCAUCCACUCGACUUCUGCUCUUCAACUGAUUAGGGUAAGAAACAUAAGGAUUAUAAUUUUGGGAGGCUGAUUUUUAUUUAUUUUAGUCUCUUGAAAGAUUAUAGACAUCUUCAAAGUGGGAAAUAAAAACGAAAACUUUGGUCAGGUUGUAUCUUUCUUUGCUUAGCUUUUAUAACUAGAUUUAUUGAUUUUUUUUUCUUUGCUUAGCUUUUGUAACUAGAUUUGCUAAUUUUUAAACAUGUUUCCCCGAAAACAACCAUGAUCAGGUGCUCAAAAUAGAAAACGAAAAAGAAAAGAACAAGAAGAGGCUAAUCAAUUAAGAGGGUCUUUGAAUAAAUAUUUUGUUAGAAAUCAAAGUUCUAAUGAUCCGGUUAAUAAUUUUAAUGUUCUAUCUAGUACUUCCAAUGAUUCGGUUGAUAUUUCCAAUGAUUUUGAAAAAAUAAUUUUUUUUGAUAAUGAUAAACCAAGUGAUUUUAAUAUUUUUGAUCCUAGAGUAUGGGAUGAUUUAGAUUCAAAAAUGAAAGAUCUACCAAUAGAAAAAGGGCCAAAUAGAGAAGUUGAUACCAACACAAUUUUUUCAAAAGAUUCACUUGGUAGACAUUUUUCAUUGUUUUUUUUUUAUUCGGAAAUUAAGAAAUGGUGAUUCUUUUGAUAGAAAAUGGUUAGUGUAUUCAAAAGAACUUGAUAAAGUUUUUUGUUUUUGUUGUAAGUUGUUUAAAACCGUUCGAACUAAAAGUAGUUUGGCAACCGAAGAAAUUAAAGAUUGGAACCAUCUUAGUGAAACAUUAAAACAACAUGAAAAUAGUUCCGAUCAUAUGGAUAAUUUAAGAACUUGGAAUGAAACGCGAAUUAGGUUAAAUAAAAACGAAACAAUUGACAAAGAAAUUCAAGAAAUGAUAAAAAAAAAAUACCGAACAUUGGAAAGAAGUUAUGGUUAGAAUUAUUUCUGUUGUAAAAUGUUUAGCAAAAAAUAAUUUAGCUUUUCGUGGUACAAAUGAAAAAAUUUAUGAAAACUCAAAUGACCAUUUUUUAAGUGUAAUUGAAUCGAUUGCGGAGUGGGAUCCGGUAAUGAAAGAACAUUUUCGAAUGAUUCAAGACAAAGAAACAUAUAAUCAUUAUCUUAUUCAAAAAAUUCAAAAUGAAUUAAUUGAAAUGUUAGCAUCCGAGGUAAAAUGUGCAAUUAUUAAAAAAAAUCAAAAAGGCAAAAUAUUUUUCUAUAAUUCUUGAUUGCACUCCGGAUGCUAGUCACCAAGAACAAAUGACUUUGAUUAUAAGAUGUGUAAAUUUGGAAAGUGUUCCAUUAAAAGUUGAAGAGUUUUUUUUUAGAGUUUUUAAUUGUAAAGAUACAUCCGGUCUAGGUCUUUUUAAUGUUUUACAAGAUGCCUUAAAAUCUCUUGAUUUGGAUAUUAAUUAUGCUCGUGGUCAAGGGUAUGAUAAUGGGGCAAAUAUGAAAGGUAAACACCAAGGUGUUCAAAAACGAUUGCUUGAUAUAAAUAAUAGAGCUUUUUAUAUGCCUUGCGGAUGUCAUAGUUUAAAUUUGGUUUUGUGUGAUAUGGCAAAUUCUUGCCAAAAGGAAAAAACUUUUUUUGGUACAUGUCAAACGAUUUAUAAUGUUUUUUCUAAUUCAACCAAAAGAUGGAGUGUUUUAUUUGAGUUUAUUAAUGAUCUAACACUUAAAUCAUUAUCAGCUACUCGUUGGAAAAGUCAUAUUGAAUGUGUUAAAGCAAUAAAAACACAAUUUUAUCAAAUAAGAAAAGCUUUAAAAAAAUUAUCUAAAAUAAGUGAUAAUGGACAAGUGUGUAGAGAUGCUGAUUCACUAGUAAAUUGGUGAAUUUUCUAGUUUUGAAUUUAUUUUAAGUUUAGUUAUAUGGUAUGAUAUUUUGUACAAAAUUAAUUUGGUAAGCAAAAAGUUACAAUCCAACGAAAUGCUUCUUGAUGUUGCUGUAAAAAAUUUAGAGGGGUUAAUUAAUUAUUUUGAAGGAUAUAGGGAAAGUGGGUUUGACUUUGCUAUUAGUGAAGCAAAAGAAAUAGCAAAUAGUGUUAAAGUUAAACCCGAAUUUCCUCAAAAACGCAAUAAAAAAAGAAAACAACAUUUUGAUGAAAUUCCAAAUACCGAAAGAGAACACCAAUCUUCUCAAGAAGUAUUUAAAAGGGAUUAUUUUUUUAUUCUUGUUGAUAUGGCUCUUGUUCAAUUGAAAAGUAGAUUUGAACAAUGCAAUAUUUUGAAUCGAUAUUUGGUUUUUUGUUUGAUGGUUCCAAAUUAGUUUUUUUAGUUGAUGAUGAAUUAAAGAAAUGUUGUUUAAAUCUUGAGUCCAAUUUGAAAAAUGGUGAAGAUUAUGAUAUUAAUGGAGAUGGUUUAUUCAUUGAAUUAAAACUUUUGCAGAAAAUGUUGCCGGAUGAAGCAUACAAAAGUCGAAGUCCUUGGACAUCUAUUCAAAUAAUGGAGUAUGCAAGAAGAAUGGAUAUGUUCCCUAAUGUGUUGGUUGCAUAUAGGAUAUUAUUGACGGUGCCGGUUACGGUUGCUUCCGCGGAAAGAAGUUUUUCAAAAUUGAAGCUUUUGAAAUCGUAUCUCCGAAGUACCAUGACUCAAGAAAGAUUGAAUGGAUUAGCAAUUUUAAGUAUUGAAAGUGAUUUUUUAAAAAAUAUUGAUUAUUGUAAAAUAAGAGAUGCUUUCGCUUUAAAAAUUGCGCGAAGACACCAUUUUAGGUGAUUUUUUGUAUAUUUUAUUUGUAUUAUUUGUUUGAUCAUAAAAAAUUACUGCAUUUUUUAUAUUAGAAAUUACUACAUUUGUUUGAUUA